GGCGACGUCUCGGAGCUGACGAGUGGCGACGGGUGAGUAAUACAUCGGAACGUGCCCAGUCGUGGGGGAUAACUACUCGAAAGAGUAGCUAAUACCGCAUACGAUCUGAGGAUGAAAGCGGGGGACCUUCGGGCCUCGCGCGAUUGGAGCGGCCGAUGGCAGAUUAGGUAGUUGGUGGGAUAAAAGCUUACCAAGCCGACGAUCUGUAGCUGGUCUGAGAGGACGACCAGCCACACUGGGACUGAGACACGGCCCAGACUCCUACGGGAGGCAGCAGUGGGGAAUUUUGGACAAUGGGCGAAAGCCUGAUCCAGCAAUGCCGCGUGCAGGAUGAAGGCCUUCGGGUUGUAAACUGCUUUUGUACGGAACGAAAAAGCUUCUCCUAAUACGAGAGGCCCAUGACGGUACCGUAAGAAUAAGCACCGGCUAACUACGUGCCAGCAGCCGCGGUAAUACGUAGGGUGCGAGCGUUAAUCGGAAUUACUGGGCGUAAAGCGUGCGCAGGCGGUUAUGUAAGACAGAUGUGAAAUCCCCGGGCUCAACCUGGGAACUGCAUUUGUGACUGCAUGGCUAGAGUACGGUAGAGGGGGAUGGAAUUCCGCGUGUAGCAGUGAAAUGCGUAGAUAUGCGGAGGAACACCGAUGGCGAAG
rnacentral:rRNA from 1 species